UACGUAGGGUGCAAGCGUUAAUCGGAAUUACUGGGCGUAAAGCGUGCGCAGGCGGUUUUGUAAGUUUGUCGUGAAAGCCUCGGGCUCAACCUGGGAAUUGCGAUGAAGACUGCAAGGCUUGAAUCUGGCAGAGGGGGGUAGAAUUCCACGUGUAGCAGUGAAAUGCGUAGAGAUGUGGAGGAACACCGAUGGCGAAGGCAGCCCCCUGGGUCAAGAUUGACGCUCAUGCACGAAAGCGUGGGGAGCAAACAGG
rnacentral:rRNA from 1 species